CUUCUGUACAUAUCACUAAGGAGGUCAUUCUGUUGAUUUUCCUAUAUAAAGAAGUUAGCAAGGUAAUUUGAAGUGUGAAGGCAGAGUGUAUCCCACUAAUGUCCUGUGUGGACAUGUGUGGUGCCUUAUAAAGCGAGAGUUAGGCUAGGGCUUGUUUUCAUAGGAAGAUAAUACACAUGAAAACACAAGUGAGAAUUUACUGUCACUGUUCCAUCUGUAUUAAUUCCAAAAGUGAAUGGCAACCGCAACAUUUGAGAAGUCUUACUUCACUCCCAUGCCAGUGAGCAAUUUUGUAUAAAGCUAUCCUUUGCAUAUGUUUUUGACAAGUUGGAGUGCAAUAAACUGAAGAGCAUAUAUAAUUCUUUACAGAAACAAAUCUAUGGACCAAGUAAUGUGGUGUGAUCACGUGAACUGAAAUGCCAAACUCUGCAGAACUGCAAGAAAAAGACCCACUUGCGUUCUCCAACAGAAGACAGUGACACGACACAAAUGGUAGCACAAGGCUCUUACCAUUCCAUUCAAUAAGUGAGUCUCCAUGGAUGGAUUACAACUCCAAAGAGAGUUGCAAAGAGAGGACAGAAAGAGUGGAAUUAUGCUCCCAAGAAGAAAAAUCCAGAGUAAGAGCACUGGUUUAAUAGACAUAUUUUGGAUUUACACUGGCAUCUUGAAAGCAGAAUCGUCCCCUGUAGAUGUGGCAGUAUCACUGUAGCUCUCUCCAGGUAACACACAACCCUUGUUUUUUUCUGAGUGCAGUGUCUGAUUGCAAUGAUUUCUAUGGAUCCAUUCACUGUGUAAAUGACACAUUUAAAAAAAAAAAUGGGUGAAUGCCCACUUAGUUUUCACAACUGCCCACAGAGGUUGUGAAGGCUUGAUAUACUCUAUUGAGUAAAUAACCAUAAAUAAAGCAGGCUGUUAAAAAUCUUUAACUAUGCA
rnacentral:lncRNA from 1 species